rnacentral:lncRNA from 1 species
UUUUUAUUUUUAUUUUUGGGAUUGUUAUUUUAAAACUUGGAUGAUUUUUUUCUUAAUUUUGCUUUAGCUAGAUUUUUUUUAUCAUUGCUAAUUAAAAAAAAUUGCUUAUUUUUGUGUAGAAACUCCACGCUUUGGACGACACUACAUUUUGGACUUGAACAAGCAAGGGGGAGGAACCCAAUAAACAUUGUGGAGCUGUUACACCGAAACGGGUAGUCUCUUCUCUUAAUUAUUUUUAGUGCAUAUUAGGGACAAUAUGUCAAAUAAUGUAUGUGUGUGGGAGGGGGGAGGUGACAGAGAAAAUUUUAAAAUUUUGUUAUUAUUAUUUGUUCUUUUAUUUGUAAUUUUUAGUUGAAUUUUUCUUUUUUUUUCUUGUGUGCUUGUUUGUGCUUAAGCUUAUAGAAAUACAAAUGAUUGGUUAGGAGCAUGCGAAUAGGUUGUUUGUUUAAAAUAUAAAUCUAGCCUAAGAAUAAAUGAUUUUAGGUUGUUUGCAUUUAGACUAGUUAGUUCAAUUUGUUAUACCGUGAAUAGGAAAAAGGAGUUAAAUAUACCGAAUGAUAAAUGUAUACACAGGUAGGCAUAGAUGUUUGUUUGAAUUAUAGGUUGUUUGAAUUUUAUAACUCAGUUAAUUGAAGCCAAG